rnacentral:rRNA from 1 species
AACGUAGGAGACAAACGUUAUCCGGAGUUACUGGGCGUAAAGGGCGUGUAGGUGGUUUCGUAAGUCUGGCGUGAAAUUUUUCGGCUUAACCGGGAAAGGUCGUCGGAUACUGCGGAACUAGAGGACGGUAGAGGCGUGUGGAAUUCCGGGUGUAGUGGUGAAAUGCGUAGAGAUCCGGAAGAACACCGGUGGCGAAGGCGGUCUGCUGGGCAGUUGCUGACACUGAGGCGCGACGGCGUGGGGAGCAAACAGG